rnacentral:rRNA from 1 species
UGGUAGUCCGCACGAGCGCAACCCUACUUGUUAGUUGCCAUCAUUCAGUUGGGCACUCUAGCGAGACUGCCGGUAAUAAACCGGAGGAAGGUGGGGAUGACGUCAAAUCAUCAUGCCCCUUAUGACCUGGGCUACACACGUGCUACAAUGGUUGGUACAACGAGUUGCGAGUCGGUGACGGCGAGCUAAUCUCUUAAAGCCAAUCUCAGUUCGGAUUGUAGGCUGCAACUCGCCUACAUGAAGUCGGAAUCGCUAGUAAUCGCGGAUCAGCACGCCGCGGUGAAUACGUUCCCGGGCCUU